GGGCCCAACAGCAGCAACCUGGCAGUGGUGAGGCUUGAACCAGCAACCUUUUGAUUACUAGUCCACUACCCUAACCACUAGGCUACAAAUUAGUGUAUUAGACUGCUGUGUCACCUGACAGUCCCAUACCAUGCCUAAUCUGUGCCAUUUAAAAACUCUGGAUUAGUUUAAUAUGUAAAAUAACAUGUAAUAUGUAAAAUAAUGAGACAGAGAAAAUGAAUUUGAAAGAUAAUGAUCUAUUGUUGCUUAUUGUGCCCACAAUGAUGUGCAUCAGACCAGAUAGCAAAUAGAAUGUAAGUGUAUUCUGUUGCGCUGUCUCAGCAUGAAUAAAUCAACAAGACAAACCAAUUCUAUAAUAAUUAUGUUAAUAUAUUUAUUCUGCAGGGGGUUACUUAGUAUUUUGGGUGAAAUGUAGCAGCAGGACACAAACAGUGGUCAGGAUGGUUUUUCAAAUAAAUAAGAUUGAUCAGACACAGUGAGUAGUAAAGGUGAAUCUGAUAUAAAUAUGUAAAGUUCAUUAGUCUACAUUAUUACAGCUCUGUGCUGAACUAUGUUACAGGGUUAAACUCCGCCUGAAAGCUGGGUCACAUUCCAUUAGUGUGGGUAUGUGUGUGGGUGUGUGUUUCACUCUCUACAGGUGUGUAUUUGUACAGUGUUUUUGCACUGUUGACAGCGGACCGAGCAGCACCAGGAGAAUUUACAGGAGCAGCGCUGAACCACCUCUGCCCGACCGGAUCUGUAACCAGGACCACAGCACAACAGCUCACAACCGUCUGGGGCUAAACGGGAAGUUCCUGUAUUACACAAUAAAGGAGCAGAGUAAAUCGGCGACCAGCAGUUCCCAGGAUGCCGUUCUCAGGGUCCAGGUGGCAGAAAUCGGGGGAAGUGGUCAGGUAGACGAGAUCACGUGCAGCAGGGGGUUUCACAUGAGGAUCCUUCGGCAGUAGAGCAGCUCGAGAACCAAUUCUUGUCAGACGUACCUACAAACCAACAGGAGUAUCAGCAGCUUUCCGAAUAGAUUCCAUCACUUCCCCUCUUGCCCUACACACACCCACCUGCCCCAUCGACAGACCACGUAGACGCAUACACACCCCCGAGCCGGAGACCGGCCGAGAGCGUGGUACACGUACCAGAGAACUGAACACAAAGGAAGAUGUUCAUUGAAACUGCGUGUCCAAUUGCCGAUUGCGUCAUGCUUCCUCUCCACCAAUGCCGAUCCCCGCUCUGAUUGAGGAGAACGAAGACACACCCUGAGAGCACUCUUUUCUCAUCUCUGUGCAGGCGCCAUCAAUCAGCCAGCAGUGAGAGAGACCCCAUCCGGCUUAGUCCCGCCCAUAUCUAGCACAAUUUUUUAACUUUAUUUCUUGUUUAGCAUUUUUUGCUUCUUUUUGAUCUUUUUUUCCACUUUUUAUGUUUUAUGUUUUUUUUUUACACAAUUCCAGUUUUUAUUUAUAUAUUUUAUUUGUUCCCCUUUAUCUCCAUUUCUUUUGGGUUUUUAAUGCCUUUUUUUUCCUUUCUUUUCAAGGUGGUCGAAAACUUUGAU